AAAAAAAACCAAAAACA
rnacentral:sRNA from 1 species